rnacentral:piRNA from 1 species
AAAGACAGCAGACUGUUCUUCUG